GGACCGGAAGUGCUAACAAGAUCGUGAAAGUACACAUUUAAGGAGUCGGUACAGACGCUAAAAAUUUCCCGCCCCCCUCGGUUCUUCGGCAUAUAAAAUCGAUCGCUGAAAGAGGAGCGGAUUAGUAAUAUUGCAGACAAGAUUUUAACAUCUUGAAAACCGCUAUGUUAAAUAUGUCACGCUAAUUUUCCAGCUGAUCUGGGAAAGAGAGGUCAUUUUGUUUAAACUUGAUACACCGUCCAUUUAAAGAUAUCGCUUUCCCUCUGCUUAACUUAUUCGAUAAACCAACAGCCCAUGGUGGAAAAAGCCGUUAUCACUGAUAACAAGCCAAGGUCUGGAGACGUGUGCGUGACUAAACUCAAACCCAUGAUCUUAUAUCAACAGCGCAAGAAAAUUUCGGAUUGCUUUAGAAGUGAUUGGUGAAGCCUUGUGAUAGUGCCUUGGGAAAUCAGACCAUGAAGUUAGCAAGAAGUCUAAACAACGUUCGAAUUUCUGUCUGGCACGAGACAGACAGCUCACGGUGAAUAUUUCAUAACAAACGUUCAUGGAUGGCUGGUGUUCCAAAGGAAACAAUUUUAUGAUGGGCACGAAGCCACAUUGCUAAGGAAGAUGAUAGAAAAUGAUUCCUGUUGCGGCAAUCUUCACUCCCACCCGCUACUCAAUAUCUUCUUGGCCCUUGAAAGAAGAGCGCUAAAUAAGAGGUACUUAAACUGAUAACCAUAACCUAUCUAGUGGACUGUGUUAUGUUCAAGUCGCUUACGCUUAAGGCCCCCAGGAGUUAUAAAUUAUUUGCAUAAUUGUGUAAUUCGGGCACGUACUUUGAAGGUCUCUUUCCUUAUCUGGGAAAAGAUUACACCAGAUGGAGACCUUUGCGUGUGGAAACAUUCACAAGAGCUUGUUUGUGGUUUAAGGCCAAACAUCACAGUUACCUUUUCUUUGUCAUGUGACCACUUUCGAAGUGUCCGUUUCAACUCCAGAGUGUUGACCAACAAGUCAGGAGUUCCAGGUGUAGACAUUGGUAGGGAUGGAUGGGUAAGGACUGACGUGUCCACUGCCGGCGAAUCUGAAACUGUGAAAUCAAAUGACUUUACGAUUAGUAUAAAUCGAUGAGAUGGGAACUUAUAUCUGUGUAAGCAAAAUAACGUUUUCACGGCUUAAGAAAAUUAGGCCAAGAAUCAAGACCUGUUGUGAAAUGACGGAGGAAGUGCUUUGUUUGUGGACUGAAGGCUGUAUAGAGCAAGAAAUCGAGAUUUACACCAGGCAACCUUUUGACGACCAAACAACUUUAUUCAGCUGAAAAUCCGCGGAUAAUACGAGCGUGGAUAAUACACGAAAUACUCAUAUGUGCACAGAUUUCUGAGAAUCGUGUGUUGAGUCAUUUUUCAGCGAUUUUAAGGUCAGACUUAAUUGGUUUGUGUUGAUAUGAGAAUAAAUGAAAUAAAAUGAUCAUCAGAUAGAGAAUCUCUGUCAUACGGACUGAAAAAGAUUUACACCAGCAAGAUUUCUUUGACAAGUUUUCCGGGCCCUGGCAGUAAAGAAGGGGAGUUACGACAUUUCUUUCUUUUUGACAAGUCCUGCAACGGAUAUGCCAGUUUAUGGACGAGAAGACUUGUCGAGAAAAUUUUAGAGGAGGGUAUAAGGUAACUUCUGAUCCACUAUUUUUUCGGUGACAAACGUUCUUAACGAGUCUUUUUUGGCUUAUGUAUAUAUGAUAGCAAAAAAAUAAUUCUUUAGACAAGUGCGCUUAUGUAAAUCA